rnacentral:ncRNA from 1 species
UAUAGGUAGAGGCGCAAUAUUUAUCAGUAUUAACAAUGAGGUAAGCACGAUGAUUUGUUAAGAAAGGAAAUGUUGCCGAAGUGUAUAACUGAUGCUUUAAGGUUAUAUAGCUGGGUGUAUACAGAAUAUGUAUGCAACUGUCACUAGUUUUAGUGUUGAGCUAUC